rnacentral:rRNA from 1 species
GACGAACGCUGGCGGCGUGCCUAAUACAUGCAAGUCGAGCGGACUCUUUGAAAGCUUGCUUUUAAAGAGUCAGCGGCGGACGGGUGAGUAACACGUGGGUAACCUGCCUGUAAGACUGGGAUAACUCCGGGAAACCGGGGCUAAUACCGGAUAAGCUUUUCCUACGUAUGGAGGAAAAAUAAAAGAUGGCUUUUGCUAUCACUUACAGAUGGACCCGCGGCGCAUUAGCUAGUUGGUGCGGGUAAUGGCCCACCAAGGCAACGAUGCGUAGCCGACCUGAGAGGGUGAUCGGCCACAUUGGGACUGAGACACGGCCCAAACUCCUACGGGAGGCAGCAGUAGGGAAUCUUCCGCAAUGGACGAAAGUCUGACGGAGCAACGCCGCGUGAGUGAAGAAGGUUUUCGGAUCGUAAAACUCUGUUGUCAGGGAAGAACAAGUGCCGUUCGAACAGGGCGGCACCUUGACGGUACCUGACCAGAAAGCCACGGCUAACUAC